rnacentral:rRNA from 1 species
UGGUGGAGUGAUUUGUCUGGUUAAUUCCGUUAACGAACGAGACUUUAACAUAGUAAAUAGAAGGAAUAAUUAUGUAUAUUAUUCAUCACAACUGCUUCUUAGGGGGACUUUGUGUGUAUAAUACAAGGAGGCUUAAAGUAAUAACA